rnacentral:rRNA from 1 species
AUUGAACGCUGGCGGCAGGCCUAACACAUGCAAGUCGAGCGGAUGAAGGGAGCUUGCUCCUGGAUUCAGCGGCGGACGGGUGAGUAAUGCCUAGGAAUCUGCCUGGUAGUGGGGGAUUACGUCCGGAAACGGGCGCUAAUACCGCAUACGUCCUGAGGGAGAAAGUGGGGGAUCUUCGGACCUCACGCUAUCAGAUGAGCCUAGGUCGGAUUAGCUAGUUGGUGGGGUAAAGGCCUACCGAGGCGACGAUCCGUAACUGGUCUGAGAGGAUGAUCAGUCACACUGGAACUGAGACACGGUCCAGACUCCUACGGGAGGCAGCAGUGGGGAAUAUUGGACAAUGGGCGAAAGCCUGAUCCAGCCAUGCCGCGUGUGUGAAGAAGGUCUUCGGAUUGUAAAGCACUUUAAGUUGGGAGGAAGGGCAGUAAGUUAAUACCUUGCUGUUUUGACGUUACCAACAGAAUAAGCACCGGCUAACUUCGUG